rnacentral:rRNA from 1 species
AACGAACGCUGGCGGCAUGCCUAACACAUGCAAGUCGAACGAGACCUUCGGGUCUAGUGGCGCACGGGUGCGUAACGCGUGGGAACCUGCCUUUAGGUUCGGAAUAACUCAGAGAAAUUUGAGCUAAUACCGGAUGAUGUCUUCGGACCAAAGAUUUAUCGCCUUUAGAUGGGCCCGCGUUGGAUUAGCUAGUUGGUGGGGUAAAGGCCUACCAAGGCGACGAUCCAUAGCUGGUCUGAGAGGAUGAUCAGCCACACUGGGACUGAGACACGGCCCAGACUCCUACGGGAGGCAGGAGAGGGGAAUAUUGGGGAAUGAGCGAAAGCCUGAUCCAGCAGUGCCGCGGGAGUGGGGAAGGCCUUAGGGUUGUAAAGCUCUUUUACCCGAGAUGAUAAUGACAGUAGCGGGUGAAUAAGCACCGGCUAACUCCGUG